CAGAGAAAAAAGUACUGGCCUCAAAGAAGCCUGAGGAAGAGGGAGAAAGGAACAAAUGAAAACAGGGCAACUGCCUCCGAAGCGGAGGGCAGGGAAAGGCAGGGCAAAGCCUGAAAAUGCAUUUGCGGUGACAUCACUGCCUUUCCCACAGAGGCCAUUGACACAGAGGCCCGGUGCCCAUUCACUACCCCAAAGCCUCUCUCCAGGCCACGGAGCCACCCCUCCGUUUCCUGAAUGGCUUUUUUUGUUGGAAAACAGUGGAGCGGUUCUGAAGGCCUGCAUAAAUGACCGAGUAAUUCAUUGCUGUUGCCAGGAAGUCUGAGCCACUUGUGAGCUGACAAUAGUGAACCUUAUCUCCCGCCCAUGUUGGAAGUUCCAGCUGCAGUCCCCGAAUUCUAAUCAAGGCUUUACUCCUGCCUUGGAGGUUAUGGUAAUAUUUUAUCCAUUUUUUUUUCCACUAAGACAGUCACUGCUGCUAUUGAUCACUGGAGAGGCAAGUCCCAAGGACUGAGGAAGAAAUUCAUAAAAAGGAAUGAGAAAUAUUCCAGUGACUAUUUUCUUCUCCACUGCUGAUGCUGACAUGGAUCCAAAUAUAUUUAAAGUGUUGAAGAAAGUGACUAAGACAAGUACAUUCAGAGAUGGCCUGCUGUUUGAUCAGGGAACUAAAUGUCACCAUGCAUGGGACAGGUGGUGAUGACUAGGACUCUGUAUCUGCAGAGGAGACCACUUAACAGAGAUGACAGCUGUUCUGAAACCCAGAAAAGGCCACCAUGGGGAAGAUGGAUGGGAAUCAUUCCAAGGGCUCCAAAGGGCAGAGCUGGUUUCAAUGGGGAAGAUUGCGGAGAAUUGCUUUCAAUUCAUUAUGGAGAAGAUGAGUGUUCCAGCAAUUAAAGCUGCCCUGUGACUGAAUGGGCUGCCUCACAUGGCCUUAAUGAGAACUGCGGCUGACUUGAGAAAAUUUAAUUACCAGGCAAUGCUCAAGUGCUCAACUCUACUUUCAUUUCUCUCUUAAUGAAUUAAAAGUAAUCUUGAACUACGUAACUCACUGUAUUGUUACGUGAUAGUGGUUUCUUAUAUUGAUGAUGGAUUUUCAUAUUGUUUUUAAGGCAGAAAUAAAGAUUUUUUGAUCAAUUUAUGCACAAUGGUAUUGUAUGUUUGUCCUGAGGAGGCACCAAAAUGUAGAUGUGGAAACAAAAAUGUCAUCAUUGCUAAGAACUUCUUGUUUUUGAGGAAAGUUAAUAUCAAGACUGGUGAUGAUGAGGUUUCUGACACCAAUUUUAAUCUAUCAUGCUGUAAUUAUUGACUUGUAUUUCUCUAUCACUAGACUCAUUAUCUUGAGGACAAAGGCUUAAUUAAUGUCCUUUACACUGUUAUGCAUUGGGCCAGAGAAACUAUGCAAUUAAGAUAUUUUGUAUAAAAUAAAUGAGCAAAUGAUUUACUACAAAUGUUCCAUAAAUCAGUAAAUAUUUUUAUGUAUGUAUGUACAUAUGUAUGUAUGUGUUGAGGAGGUUGUAAAUUGACAUAUAUUAUGAACCUAAAUUAUUCUCAUGUCUCAGACUAUACAAUUAUGUCCUCCAAAUCCAUUCUAACCCUUCCCUACGGAACGCAUUCCAACUAACAUAGAAAUGCUGAUGGAAGUGCAAAAAGCAUGGGAAUGAAGAGACAAAGCAAGAAAGAGAAUGCUGUAGAAAUUGUGAACUUGUACUGGGCCACACUAGUGUAGAAUUGGGUUGGCUGGAAGCACUGGGGAAGGCCUUGAUGGUUCACAUGGGAUGAGCAAGGCUACAUCUCUGAUAGGCUGAGGUUUCUAGAGCAGUUCCAGAGACCUGGAUCACAGUUGGGGUAAGGUGAGACUGAAGAUGGAGAAAA